GCAGUCAACACCUUCCACUCCGUUUAUGGCGCAGUGUACAGAGAGCAUUGACAACGUAUCUUUCAUGCUGAGCCACGAACAAACAAAAAGACCAGAAUACAGCGUCGCUAAAGCCUCGAGAUCAGAUCGAUUAUAUAUAGGACAGCGAUGACACUGUUGAUCUCUGUGAGGAGAUGCUGCAGAUCUCCAUGUUCAUGUUAGUGAAGGAGCUCCCGGCCUCACUGCCGCAUUCUGGGUAUGAAGAGCUGGAGGAUAUGAUGUUCUUCAGCCUGUGGAGAGCGAUGAUCAGCAGGGUAAGCAGGAAGAGCAGCAAGCUGAGGAAGAUGGAGACGUAGACGUAAACAUUGGCAGUCCGUCCGUAUGAGGCAGCGGCCGCCCCGGUAGAAACAGAGGCAACCUGCCUAUCAGUGGGCUCGUAAGCUGGUGCGGGUUGUUGAUAGGCCACUGCCGGUCCAUUAGGACUUUGGGGUGGUCACAUCGGCUCAGUGGUACACACAGAAGAGAGUCUGGAGCGGACUGGCAUAUGGAUGGAGCUUUGGAUGCAUGCGGUGGGGCAGGGCUAUGCAUGUCAAUAGGACCGAGGCGUCAUGCCUCCUGGGAAGGUCUUAUCUCUUCUGCUCUGUGCACUGAAGACACGGAACACAGCUUAUGGAUCGAUGCAAAGCAAAGCAUGACUGUCGCUUCUAUUAUUUGGUA